rnacentral:rRNA from 1 species
GGGGAAUAUUGCGCAAUGGGGGGAACCCUGACGCAGCCAUGCCGCGUGAAUGAAGAAGGCCUUAGGGUUGUAAAGUUCUUUCGGUAUUGAGGAAGGUUGAUGUGUUAAUAGCACAUCAAAUUGACGUUAAAUACAGAAGAAGCACCGGCUAACUCCGUGCCAGCAGCCGCGGUAAUACGGAGGGUGCGAGCGUUAAUCGGAAUAACUGGGCGUAAAGGGCACGCAGGCGGUUAUUUAAGUGAGGUGUGAAAGCCCUGGGCUUAACCUAGGAAUUGCAUUUCAGACUGGGUAACUAGAGUACUUUAGGGAGGGGUAGAAUUCCACGUGUAGCGGUGAAAUGCGUAGAGAUGUGGAGGAAUACCGAAGGCGAAGGCAGCCCCUUGGGAAUGUACUGACGCUCAUGUGCGAAAGCGUGGGGAGCAAACAGGAUUAGAUACCCUGGUAGUCCACGCUGUAAACGCUGUCGAUUUGGGGGUUGGGGUUUAACUCUGGCGCCCGUAGCUAACGUGAUAAAUCGACCGCCUGGGGAGUACGGCCGCAAGGUUA